GCUUAUGACACCAGCACCCUGAAUGUGCCCAAUUUAAUCAGAUCUCAGAAGGUAAAAGCAGCAUCUAGGCCAGUUAGUACUUAGCAAGGGAGGCAUUCUGGGAAUAUCAGGUGUUGUAGGUU
rnacentral:rRNA from 1 species